AGGUUCUAGAACAGUCACUUGGACCAGUGUCUAGGGAAGAGGGAGGAGCGGGCCAACCUUCACUGGGUUCGGGAGAGGCCGCGCAGAGAGAGCAAUAUUCAAACCGGGUCUCAGAAGAUGUGUUAUUAGUCAAGCAGUAGAGAUGAAAGAAACCUCCAGGCAAGGAGACCGAAGCCUCGAAGGCCCAGAAGUUAAGAGUUUAGCGCAUAUUAAGAAAGGCUGGAGUGUUCAGAUCACAAGGCAAUAACAACUUCACAGAUCAUCUAGUUUAACAUCCUUGUUUUGCAGAUGCCAUUUUUGACAUUCACGCAAGGAGGGGACUUCAUGCAGAUUUACACCACACCGGAACCUUAUCUCCUGACCCUCCAUCUCCUGCUCUUCCUCUCAACCAUGGAAGGAAGAGGCCAGCAGCCAGCUCUCUGGAAAAGGUCACUGUUACGUGGCAGAACCCUAUAGUAAGGCUGUGCCCGUGGAAAUUAGACCUUGACUCAAGAAGACAUGCUUGGGUUCGAAACCCACCUCCAUCAGUAGCUAUGGGACAGAGUACUUAGUCUUUCUGAGUCUCACUUUCCUUAUUUGUCAGGUGGGAAUCAGUAGUUCUUACCUCAUAUGGCUAUUUUCGAGGUAAAAAAAAAAAGUUAAUCCCAUGGGCACAAUGCCCAGCAUAAGCUAAAUGCUCAAUCAUUGGAUAGUAGAGGUUAUGAUUUUAAUCUUGUCCUUCUUAUUGUAAUAUUAUUGGUAUUUUUCUUACUUGAAAGUAUACAUUAUCACUAAUGGAUUGUUUAUGAUUUAUUGUUUCUACUGUUAAAGUACUGAGUACUUCCUGAAGGAAAUGGAGCUAUUCUAUCUAGAGGAACUCGUUAGAUUUUAACUGGAAAUGUGAGGAUGAGGCUGAAUGUCCCUGUCAGACUGGAGACAAAAGGAAGAGAACAGAGGAAGAGAAGGCAGCUCAGCCUUAUGCCCCAGGUGAUGCUCGGAGAGUGAGUCUUCAUUCUGAGAAGAUGAAAGGGGCGUUUGCAGUCCUGAUAUCUAUAUAAGGUGUAGAAAUACCAUCUUAAAGGCAUUGAAUAACAGAACACAUUGAAUGUUUACUGUUCAAACAUUUAUGCAGAGUCUACUGUGUGCAAAGCACUUGGAAUAUUAAAGUAAACUAAAACUAGA